rnacentral:rRNA from 1 species
UGCAAGUCGAACUAGCUCUAGCGCAAGUUAGAGUGGGUGGCGGACGGGUGAGGAACACGUAAGAACCUACCUUUUGGAAGAGGAUAACUGCUGGAAACGGCAGCUAAUACUCCAUAUGCUGAGGAGCGAAAGGUCGAAAGACCGCCAAAAGAUGGGCUUGCGUCUGAUUAGCUAGUUGGUGAGGUAAAUGCUUACCAAGGCGACGAUCAGUAGCUGGUCUGAGAGGAUGAUCAGCCACACUGGGACUGAGACACGGCCCAGACUCCUACGGGAGGCAGCAGUGAGGAAUUUUCCGCAAUGGGCGAAAGCCUGACGGAGCAAUACCGCGUGGAGGAUGAAGGCCUGUGGGUUGUAAACUUCUUUUCUCAGAGACGAAUAAAUGACGGUAUCUGAGGAAUAAGCAUCGGCUAACUCUGUGCGAGCAGCCGCGGUAAGACAGAGGAUGCAAGCGUUAUCCGGAAUGAUUGGGCGUAAAGCGUCUGUAGGUGGCUUUCCAAGUCUUUUGUCAAAUCCCAGAGCUUAACUUUGGAUCGGCACGAGAAACUCGAGAGCUUGAGUACGGUAGGGGCAGAAGGAAUUCCCCGUGUAGCGGUGAAAUGCGUAGAGAUGGGGAAGAACACCGAUGGCGAAAGCAUUCUGCUGGGCCGUUACUGACACUGAGAGACGAAAGCUAAGGGAGCGAAUAGGAUUAGAUAUCCUA